UUUACUCAUUUAUUCGUUUUUAAUCUUUUAUACCUUACUCUCCUUUUAUUCUCAUUAUAAUCACUCUGAAAAAUACCAUUUUAACAAUGUUUUUGUCGUUGACGAUAGUAUUCUGCGUCUUGCGGUUACAAUGGUUGAUUAAUGCAUUUCUUACUAUAAUUGUCAUAUUAAUAAAUGUGUCAAAAUUCAUUAUAUAGUCUACCGCAGUUGUUUUUAUGAUUUAAUUCAUAUCACCAAUCCACCUUCAUCGAUGAAUGAAAGGUUGCGUGCUCGCUAAAACAGGGCCACGUGAUCCGUCUCGUAAAAUGAAUAAUUAAUUAAAAUAGUUGACUCCGGCGUAACGAAUAAUAGAAACAAAUCUGAACGAUCCCGACCAGGAUUGUUAAAUUAAUUCUAGGUCUUUACCAAUUGUGACAGAAGAAAAAAAUCGAAGGAGAGCCGUGGUUAAAGCGAAGCGGUCACUUAUUAACCUUUAAUUCUCGGUUACUUAUUAGAGUUAAAAAUAAGUGAAUGCGGAUUCGGGUUGGCUUCGUGAAUUCAAAGGCAGUCAGGAACCUAGCCGCAUCUCUUUCGUAAUCGACU